AUCGAUUCCUGCACGCGCCACUAUUUUAUUAUUUUUUUUAUACUUUUUUUUCUUCGUGGUUUUCGCUUACGCACCGCGUACGAAACGUAUAGCGUAUAGAAUAUGUUGUUGCUUCGUUCUUAAGAAACAACGCAACCGUUUAGUGGUUUAGUGUUAGCUUUUAAAGCGUUGUCGGAUGAAUAGCCGUGAAGCAGGAAGAUCCGGUGUCGGACGAAU